AAUAAGCGUAGCCAUGAGUAUCCGCGCUCAAUUUUAAUCGUCUGUCAUAUUUGAAAUUUUUUUAUAAUUAGCAUUUUUGUUGUUAUAGGAUGAUAAAACAUGAAUAGUACUUUACUCGUGACUUAUGUUUUUAAUCUUUUUAAAAAAAAUUUAAAUAAGACGAACACUUAAAGUUGGACGUGAAAAACCAUGACUGCACUUAUU
rfam:Oryza rufipogon genomic scaffold, chr01